CCCUAGAGAACUCAUAGCCAGCCUAUUAAGGCAUAUUUUAGUUUUCUGUAAACCCUAUCCCAUUAAACCAUUGUUAUUUUAACCAGAGAGCUAUUUAGGUGCUCUCUGUUUGUAUGUAUUUGUGAGGAAGGAGGAGACUGAAGCUGUGACCGACCUAGUAUGACUUUGUGCCUCUUUGUAGACUGUUUUUUCUCAUUUCGACAUCUGGGCUUUUCUUUCUCAAUGGAGAUUCCUGAAGACAGCUAAGACAUGAGCUUCCUUGCCACUGGCUGCCUGCAAGGUGGUUGGCACUGGGGUACUCAGACUGUAGUUCUAAACAAAGUGAUAUAAAAACUUUUUUUCCCAACCUGAAUUAUGCAAGGAGAAGAACAAGUAGUCCUUUCCAUCAGUGGAAACACAGCUGAAGGGAACGUAGGGCAGAGAGAAAAUGGACAGUACUCUGAAGGUGUACGCAGACUAGAGGAAUGUCUUCUACUAAUACUGCAUCUAUAUAAAAUGGCUGGAACAUACAGAGCAGAAGAGAGCUAACUGUCCCUUUGAUGCUGUAAAUGAUGACAGUGAAGAAAUCAGAGUGGGUAUAGCUGUGAACAUGGGCCAUAAAAGGCUGCAGCCACUGCCGGGAGCUUACUUUAGAAACUCACAGGGCAGAUCUCCAAGAUCACAGUGUCUGCCAGGCAGAAGAUGGUGAAAGCAUGAAACAGCCACAACCUUCUUCCAUGAGGGCAUGAGGCAAGAUGGUUAGAGACCGCAGAUGGCAAGUACAUAUCCUGAAGUUAGCGUGGUGGGUCAGAACAUACAAAAAAAUCUGUAGAGGAUAAGUUUUUUAUGUUUCAUACAGAGGAUAGCAAUAGAAAUCACCUGAUUUCCUUAGGUGGGUAUCUUUUAGGGGUGAUCGGGGCUUUUCUAGGUAAUAUGACGUAAGUUGAAUCUGCCUUCUCUGCCUUAGUGAAUAAAAAUGUCUGAUUACAAAUGUGAGCCCAGUAUGUAAAGCUCUGAUACAUUAUUGUAAACUAUUCUGCAAAAAAGCAUGCUUCUGCAAUGACCCCAUUAGAUUUACUUGAGACCACUUCUGGGAGUAAAUUUAAACAUAUGUGUACAUAUCUGUGCAAUCAGGGUCUAUACAUAAGAUGGCUGGUGAAGCACAAUAUAGCUAUGGGCACUGAUGUAUGAAUGCAAAUUUUCUUUGCUAAUGAAUAAUUCUCCUGAUAAAAGAGAAAGAUAAGGGUCACUUAGUAAGCAUACCUGCACCUUUUUUUCAUGAGUUGUUCUGCAUUCUGUUAUACCUAGUACUAAUUUUUCUCUGUACUGCCUGAAAACAGAGCAAUUAAUUUAUGGUGAUUUCAAUUACCAUUUCCCUCACUGACUAGACUUAAAACACAGUAUCAGGUCAGUACAUAGUAGGGAAACUGCAAUUUUCUUUGGGCCUCUGUGGUAUUCAGACAGCUGGUGUAGGUUCAUUAGGAAAAUUAGAAAGAAAAAAAACGCACAAACAGAAAACAAAUGGAAUGUGUGGCAAUAUGAAGGCACACAAUAUUUCUCCUUCCUUUUUUUGGGUGAGAUAGCUGCCCUCCAUUUUCCAGUCUGCUAACUCUUUCAAUUCCAUUGCAGCAACUGCAAUAUUCUAAGUUUUAACAAUAGCUGCUGAAAUAGCAUAGCAUAAAAUCACUAGCAAAGAUCAGGACUACAAAACCUCUAAAAGAUUCUCCAGAAUGUAAACACCUUGUCAGAAUGUCAAAGUGUAUGCCCCUCAGCAUCAGCUGCUUACCUGAUAAUAUAUUUCAGCUUUGAGGAGAUAAAGGUGAUCCUCUUGAAAUAAAAUAAAUUGUAUAAUUCACUGACAUUACUACAUAUCCCCAAAGAGGUAAAAAGCUCUGAAAAAAAGAGAACAGUUAUAAGGACAUUCAUGGUCCUCACACUGAGAAUGCAUUUAUUGUGACAGACCAGUAGUCAUUUGUAUUGAGGACACAGCAAAGAGCAUCUGCCUGGCUGUGGAGACACCUGACAUAACCAGGACAUCCAAAGAAGUUUGCUGCAUAGCAGCACUUUAGACAUCUCCAGGAGAGAGAGCAGCAUUCAUUUGAAGCAGGCAGUAAGCGAGAGAUGUGUUCAUCUUCAUCAUGGCCCACUGGACAAGGCCCAGUGUGUGAACUCAGAAACAGACCUGACAAGUCCUUGCACAGGUAAAGCAGGAAGGAAUGCAAGCAUUUUUAUGUCCUUUCUGACCUUUUCAUACAUUUUUACAGCCACAGACCUGGGCUGAAGAACUCUAUGUGACUGACUACAAAGCAUACACAGCAAACCCCACACAAUUAUGAGUUUGAUCUCGAAAUGAAAUUGGAGGAGCUAGGAUCUGUGUGUGUAUAUAUCUUUGCGCACAGCGGGGACUUCAUCUCUGUAUGUUAUGGGAGAGCUGGCCCUAAAACUGGUAAAAAUUUCACUGAGGCUCAAACAUAACAAAGCCAAAUCAGACCAUUAUUUAUUGUUUGCAAGAAUGGCUGUGGUAUUAAGAUGUCAAAUUCAGUGAAAUUUAAAAAGUUACAAAGUAAUGAGUUUAAAGCACUCUUUUUAAAAAGGAUUAAAGACGUUCCAAAGCAAAGCCUGCAGUCCCCCAUCUCUUGUAAUGGAAUGGCAGCAAGACUAGCCACCCUUAACCUUCCUCUCAUUCACUAAGUCUCACGCUGUGGCUAUAGACAAUUGCUCCAAGGCUGAAUUUAUGUCAGAUAAGUUCUGAGCCCAUUAAUGAUUCGGGCUUUGAUUUGUGAAAUAGAGGUGCCCCUGGGAUCUUUAAUCUAUCUGUAAAAAGCUUUUUGUAAGUUUUCUGAAAUGUCAUGUAGGAAAUCCAUGUACAGAGGGACCAGAUUAUGACCCAAUUACCAGCUGUGCUAAUCCAGAGUGAUUUCACUAAGUUCAGUGGAGAUGAUGAAGAUUUAAAACAAUGUCAGCUUGGAUCAGAACUUAGCUUCUUGUCUCCUGUUCUAGCUUGAGAUCUAAAUAUUCCAGUUGAAAUUUUAAUUAUAUGUUCUUUGUUAUUGUUGUUGUUGUUGCAUAUGCAAGGCACUAGAAAAAUAAAUCUUUCCUUGUUUUAU
ensembl:lncRNA